rnacentral:rRNA from 1 species
GAGUUUGAUCCUGGCUCAGGACGAACGCUGGCGGCGCGCCUAACACAUGCAAGUCGAACGAGCGAGAGAGAGCUUGCUUUCUCAAGCGAGUGGCGAACGGGUGAGUAACGCGUGAGGAACCUGCCUCAAAGAGGGGGACAACAGUUGGAAACGACUGCUAAUACCGCAUAAGCCCACAGCUCGGCAUCGAGCAGAGGGAAAAGGAGCAAUCCGCUUUGAGAUGGCCUCGCGUCCGAUUAGCUAGUUGGUGAGGUAAUGGCCCACCAAGGCGACGAUCGGUAGCCGGACUGAGAGGUUGAACGGCCACAUUGGGACUGAGACACGGCCCAGACUCCUACGGGAGGCAGCAGUGGGGAAUAUUGCACAAUGGGGGAAACCCUGAUGCAGCGACGCCGCGUGGAGGAAGAAGGCCUUCGGAUUGUAAACUCCUGUUGUUGAGGAAGAUAAUGACGGUACUCAACAAGGAAGUGACGGCUAACUACGUGCCAGCAGCCGCGGUAAAACGUAGGUCACAAGCGUUGUCCGGAAUUACUGGGUGUAAAGGGAGCGCAGGCGGGAAGACAAGUUGGAAGUGAAAUCUAUGGGCUCAACCCAUAAACUGCUUUCAAAACUGUUUUUCUUGAGUAGUGCAGAGGUAGGCGGAAUUCCCGGUGUAGCGGUGGAAUGCGUAGAUAUCGGGAGGAACACCAGUGGCGAAGGCGGCCUACUGGGCACCAACUGACGCUGAGGCUCGAAAGUGUGGGUAGCAAACAGGAUUAGAUACCCUGGUAGUCCACACCGUAAACGAUGAUUACUAGGUGUUGGAGGAUUGACCCCUUCAGUGCCGCAGUUAACACAAUAAGUAAUCCACCUGGGGAGUACGACCGCAAGGUUGAAACUCAAAGGAAUUGACGGGGGCCCGCACAAGCAGUGGAGUAUGUGGUUUAAUUCGACGCAACGCGAAGAACCUUACCAAGUCUUGACAUCCCUUGACGAACAUAGAAAUAUGUUUUCUCUUCGGAGCAAGGAGACAGGUGGUGCAUGGUUGUCGUCAGCUCGUGUCGUGAGAUGUUGGGUUAAGUCCCGCAACGAGCGCAACCCUUACUGUCAGUUACUACGCAAGAGGACUCUGGCAGGACUGCCGUUGACAAAACGGAGGAAGGUGGGGAUGACGUCAAAUCAUCAUGCCCUUUAUGACUUGGGCUACACACGUACUACAAUGGCGUUAAACAAAGAGAAGCAAGACCGCGAGGUGGAGCAAAACUCAGAAACAACGUCCCAGUUCGGACUGCAGGCUGCAACUCGCCUGCACGAAGUCGGAAUUGCUAGUAAUCGUGGAUCAGCAUGCCACGGUGAAUACGUUCCCGGGCCUUGUACACACCGCCCGUC